rnacentral:rRNA from 1 species
UCAAGUAAUUAAGUGCAUGUGGUGGAUGCCUUGGCAGUCAGAGGCGAUGAAAGACGUGAUAGCCUGCGAAAAGCUCCGGGGAGGCGGCAAAUAUCCUUUGAUCCGGAGAUGUCUGAAUGGGGGAACCCACCUACUUUAAGGUAGGUAUUGCAACAUGAAUACAUAGUGUUGCAAGGCGAACGAGGGGAAGUGAAACAUCUCAGUACCCUUAGGAAAAGAAAUCAAUUGAGAUUCCCUCAGUAGCGGCGAGCGAACGGGGAUCAGCCCAUUAAGUUAUGUGUGUUUUAGUGGAACGCUCUGGGAAGUGCGAACGUAGAGGGUGAUAUUCCCGUACACGAAAGGGCACACAUAAUGAUGACGAGUAGGGCGAGGCACGUGAAACCUUGUCUGAAUAUGGGGGGACCAUCCUCCAAGGCUAAAUACUCCUGACUGACCGAUAGUGAACCAGUACCGUGAGGGAAAGGCGAAAAGAACCCUGUGAGGGAGUGAAAUAGAUCCUGAAACCGCAUGCAUACAAGCAGUGGGAGCACCUUCGUGGUGUGACUGCGUACCUUUUGUAUAAUGGGUCAGCGACUUAUAUUCAGUAGCGAGGUUAACCGUAUAGGGGAGCCGUAGAGAAAUCGAGUCUUAAUAGGGCGUUUAGUUGCUGGGUAUAGACCCGAAACCAGGCGAUCUAUCCAUGAGCAGGUUGAAGGUUGGGUAACACUAACUGGAGGACCGAACCCACUGUCGUUGAAAAGCCAGGGGAUGACUUGUGGAUAGGGGUGAAAGGCUAAUCAAGCCUGGUGAUAGCUGGUUCUCCCCGAAAGCUAUUUAGGUAGCGCCUCGGACGAAUACCAUAGGGGGUAGAGCACUGUUUCGGCUAGGGGGUCAUCCCGACUUACCAAACCGAUGCAAACUCCGAAUACCUAUGAGUACUAUCCGGGAGACAGACUGCGGGUGCUAACGUCCGUAGUCAAGAGGAAAACAAUCCAGACCGCCAGCUAAGGCCCCAAAAUCAUAGUUAAGUGGGAAACGAUGUGGGAAGGCAUAGACAGCUAGGAGGUUGGCUUAGAAGCAGCCACCCUUUAAAGAAAGCGUAAUAGCUCACUAGUCGAGUCGGCCUGCGCGGAAGAUGUAACGGGGCUAAAACUAUGUGCCGAAGCUGCGGAUGUAUACUUUGUAUACGUGGUAGGGGAGCGUUCUGUAAGCCGAUGAAGGUGUGUUGAGAAGCAUGCUGGAGGUAUCAGAAGUGCGAAUGCUGACGUGAGUAACGACAAAACGGGUGAAAAACCCGUUCGCCGAAAGACCAAGGGUUCCAGUCCAACGUUAAUCGGGGCUGGGUGAGUCGACCCCUAAGGCGAGGCCGAAAGGCGUAGUCGAUGGGAAAAUGGUUAAUAUUCCAUUACUUCUGUGUAAUGCGAUGAGAGGACGGAGAAGGCUAAAUCAGCCUGGCGUUGGUUGUCCAGGUGAAAGGAUGUAGGCAUGUAUCUUAGGCAAAUCCGGGGUACUCUAUGCUGAGAUCUGAUAGCAAGCUGUACUUGUACAGCGAAGUGGUUGAUGCCAUGCUUCCAGGAAAAGUCUCUAAGCUUCAGUUACACAGGAAUCGUACCCGAAACCGACACAGGUGGUCAGGUCGAGUAGACCAAGGCGCUUGAGAGAACUCUGCUGAAGGAACUAGGCAAAAUGGUACCGUAACUUCGGGAGAAGGUACGCUGUUGUUGGUGAUGGAACUCGCUUCCUGAGCUGACGACAGCCGCAGAAACCAGGCCGCUGCAACUGUUUAUUAAAAACAUAGCACUCUGCAAACACGAAAGUGGACGUAUAGGGUGUGAUGCCUGCCCGGUGCUGGAAGGUUAAUUGAUGGGGUUAGCGUAAGCGAAGCUCUUGAUCGAAGCCCCAGUAAACGGCGGCCGUAACUAUAACGGUCCUAAGGUAGCGAAAUUCCUUGUCGGGUAAGUUCCGACCUGCACGAAUGGCAUAAUGAUGGCGGCGCUGUCUCCAGCAGAGGCUCAGUGAAAUCGAAAUCGCUGUGAAGAUGCAGUGUACCCGCGGCUAGACGGAAAGACCCCGUGAACCUUUACUGCAGCUUGACACUGAACUUUGACCUUACUUGUGUAGGAUAGGUGGGAGGCUUUGAAGCUGGAACGCUAGUUCCAGUGGAGCCGUCCUUGAAAUACCACCCUGGUAAUGUUGAGGUUCUAACUCUGUCCCGUGAUCCGGGACGAGGACCGUGUCUGGUGGGUAGUUUGACUGGGGCGGUCUCCUCCUAAAGAGUAACGGAGGAGUACGAAGGUGCGCUCAGCGUGGUCGGAAAUCACGCGUAGAGUAUAAAGGCAAAAGCGCGCUUAACUGCGAGACCCACAAGUCGAGCAGGUACGAAAGUAGGUCUUAGUGAUCCGGUGGUUCUGUAUGGAAGGGCCAUCGCUCAACGGAUAAAAGGUACUCUGGGGAUAACAGGCUGAUACCGCCCAAGAGUUCAUAUCGACGGCGGUGUUUGGCACCUCGAUGUCGGCUCAUCUCAUCCUGGGGCUGAAGCAGGUCCCAAGGGUAUGGCUGUUCGCCAUUUAAAGAGGUACGCGAGCUGGGUUUAGAACGUCGUGAGACAGUUCGGUCCCUAUCUACCGUGGGCGCUGGAAAUUUGAGAGGAUCUGCUCCUAGUACGAGAGGACCAGAGUGGACGAACCUCUGGUGUACCGGUUGUGACGCCAGUCGCAUCGCCGGGUAGCUAUGUUCGGAAGGGAUAACCGCUGAAAGCAUCUAAGCGGGAAGCCUACCUCAAGAUAAGAUUUCCCUAGGACUUUAUGUCCUCUAAAGAGCCGUUCGAGACUAGGACGUUGAUAGGUUGGAUGUGGAAGCAUAGUGAUAUGUGAAGCUGACCAAUACUAAUUGCUCGUGAGGCUUGACUA